ensembl:lncRNA
ACAUGCUAGGACAUGCUAACGGUAAUGGUGAGCGGUUAGCAUGUCUUGGGUGUUUGAUCUUUGGCCCUCUGUAACUUUCUCACUCAUCAUUAUUCCCGAUCAAUUCAGGAUUAUUCGUAAUCAUGGUAGCAUCCACAUUAAUGUCGAAGUGUUUAAAAACAUAUAUUCUUAUUUAGAAUAAAAUGUACCUCAACAUGACACAAUAUAUUAUUGAACAUAAAUUUCUAUUUGGCACAAAAAAAGAAACACAACCUAAACGAACUGCAAGUGCAUCCAACAAGUUUGUAGAGUCAUUGCAUUAUAGGAAUAUGGGACCAAAUACUAAACUUUUGACUACUUUAUUUACCGAACAGAAAUAUAAACGCAACAUGCAAUAAUUUCAAAGACUUUACUUAUGUUACAGUUCAUAUAAGGAAAUAAAUCAAUUGAAAUAAAUCAAUUAGGCACUAAUCUAUGGAUUUCACAUGACUGGGCAGGGGUGUUGCCAUGGGUGGACCUGGGAAGGCAUAGGCCCAUCCACUUGGGAGCCAGGCCCACCCACUGUGGAGCAAGGCCCAUCCACUGUGGAGCCAGGCCCACCCACUGUGGAGCCAGGUCCACCCACUGUGGAGCCAGGCCCACCCACUGUGGAGCAAGGCCCACCCACUGUGGAGCAAGGCCUAGCCAAUCAGACUGAGUUUUCCUCCACAAAAAGGCUUUAUUACAGCACCCCCUUCCCUGUCCGAUGAUCCCGCAUGAUGUGGAGGUCCUGGGCUGGUGUGCUGACACGUGCACG